rnacentral:rRNA from 1 species
GCCCCAGACUCCUACGGGAGGCAGCAGUGAGGAAUAUUGGUCAAUGGGCGGGAGCCUGAACCAGCCAAGUCGCGUGAGGGAAGACGGUCCUAUGGAUUGUAAACCUCUUUAGGCGGGGAGCAAUGCCGGGCACGUGUGCCCGGAGGGAGAGUACCCGCAGAAUAAGCAUCGGCUAACUCCGUGCCAGCAGCCGCGGUAAUACGGAGGAUGCGAGCGUUAUCCGGAUUUAUUGGGUUUAAAGGGUGCGUAGGCGGAUUUUUAAGUCAGCGGUAAAAUGUCCGGGCUCAACCCGGGCCGGCCGUUGAAACUGGGGAUCUUGAGUGGGCGAGAAGUAUGCGGAAUGCGUGGUGUAGCGGUGAAAUGCAUAGAUAUCACGCAGAACUCCGAUUGCGAAGGCAGCGCACCGGCGCCCUACUGACGCUCAGGCACGAAAGCGUGGGUAUCGAACAGGAUUAGAUACCCUCGUAUA